CUUAGUAUACUUGAGAGUAUUGCAUGAUACAAACCUUAGAGAAAGCCUCCUCCUGUCCAGGCAGCACCUGACUUGUCAUUAUGAGCGCCACCUUUAUUAUUAGAUGCACUCCCAUAGAUAUCAUCAAAUCCAUCAUCUUUGGCAUUAUCCCAUCCAGUCCAACCAUCACUGCUAUGGGCAGCUGACCCUUUAGCUGGUUCUUUCUU
rnacentral:misc_RNA from 1 species